UAUUGACAAUAAUCUAUUCAUGGAAUUCGUGAGUGAAGUAAUAUACAGCGAAAGUUUAAAUAAAUAAAAUAGUUAUGUUUCGAUUAAUAAAAUUAAUCAAUCGCCUUAAUAAAACUGAGUUGAAACACCAUUGAAUUAACUACAUUUAAAAGAAUGAAUCCUGAUAUAUGGAUAACUCGCAGGAUGUGUCUUGAAGAAGAGUGAAAAUUUUAGCAUAUACAGGGUCAGCUUUCUCACAGCUUUCUCACUGUUCACAUUGACCAAUAAGGCCUUUAAAACUGCAUAUUGGAAGCUUCUGAUCAACUAAGACCUUAAUUGAUAACACCACAAUAUGUAUGCAGGAACCAUUAUUUUUAACACAUCAAUGCAAAGGCUAACGACUAGAACUUGGAAGGAAUCGUUUUAUAUUUAUUU